AGUGAACGCUGGCGGUAGGCCUAACACAUGCAAGUCGAACGGCAGCACAGUAAGAGCUUGCUCUUACGGGUGGCGAGUGGCGGACGGGUGAGGAAUACAUCGGAAUCUACUUUUUCGUGGGUGAUAACGUAGGGACACUUACGCUAAUACCGCAUACGACCUACGGGUGAAAGCAGGGGAUCUUCGGACCUUGCGCGAUCGAAUGAGCCGAUGUCGGAUUAGCUAGUUGGCGGGGUAAAGGCCCACCAAGGCGACGAUCCGUAGCUGGUCUGAGAGGAUGAUCAGCAACACUGGAACUGAGACACGGUCCAGACUCCUACGGGAGGCAGCAGUGGGGAAUAUUGGACAAUGGGCGCAAGCCUGAUCCAGCCAUACCGCGUGGGUGAAGAAGGCCUUCGGGUUGUAAAGCCCUUUUGUUGGGGAAGAAAAGCAGCAGGUUAAUACCCCGCUGUUCUGACGGUACCCAAAGAAUAAGCACCGGCUAACUUCGUG
rnacentral:rRNA from 1 species